AGAUCCCAAAGACCCCUCAGGAUCUCCCAGUGCUGACAGCAUCAAGAUUAAAAAAGAAGUUGCCAAUGCCUUUGUGAAAAGGCAGAAGAGAUUCAGCCAGCAUGAAUGGAUUUUCCAUGGCCUACUACCGUUUUUUUGGGAGAUACUAGGGGAUGGUCACUCUGUUCAUUUUGCUUGGGACCACUCUGAACCCCGCAGGAGAAAGAAGGUUGUGAGUGGGAAGAAGAAAAAUGUCUAGACUGGAGACUUCUUCCAUUGUGUCCCUAGCCAGCUGGAAUCCCAAGGCAAUAAUUAUCCCACUUGUUGAGCUUCCGUUAGCUUUCUGCCUUUCAUAAAAAAUGUUUCUCUGCAGUCAUCUUUUGUGGUAUUUUGAACUUCACCAGAAAUGAUUGAGAAGACUCUGUCUUACCUCCUUCCAUUUGAAUCCCCAUGAUGCAGUAGAUGAAAAAAAUAUGUGAUUCCUCUCAAGAAAAUCAACGUAUUCCUUAGAAGCAUAACAAGACUUUCGUCCUCUUCUGCAAAAUACAGGAGGAUUAUAGAAGGCGAAUGUCACAACGUGUAAAUGUGAUGGAUCUGAUCCUGGGAUGCUCACUGGGAAGAAGGCAGAAUGACUGCCUCCUGGAACAUUGACUGGGAGUGUUCCGUAUUUUCAGGUAGUAUAAUCACCCUAAAUAUGUGCCAGUGUAGUACCAUUUUGUAAAGAGAGAAGUGUGGAAAUACUAUUACAUAGCCAGUAGUCAGGUUCUGAUACACUCUUCUGAUUAUUCUGUCACAAAAUUUGCCUGUAUAGCAACAACAGAUAAAUCCCAAAAGGUGUGUUUAAGGAGUCCUUUAGAUGAGCCCUUCCAUUUGUAUGCUGGAUUCAAUGACGGUCUGUAAAAAAUAACUUGGAAAUCUCUUGUGAUUUUUGUUGCAAUUGGUUUCUGGUGAAACUGAAUAUACCCAAGCAAAACAAAACAAACAAAAAAAUCUGUUCUUCUGAUGCUUUAGCAUUUAUGCUUGAAGUAAAAGUGUCUAAACUAAAAAAAAAAAGAAAAAUGCAAAGGGGAAAACCAAUAAACUUUAUGAAAUAAACAACAAAAAAA